UACGUAGGGUGCGAGCGUUAAUCGGAAUUACUGGGCGUAAAGCGUGCGCAGGCGGUUGGUUAAGUCUGAUGUGAAAGCCCCGGGCUCAACCUGGGAAUGGCAUUGGAAACUGGCUGGCUAGAGUGUGGCAGAGGGGGGGUGGAAUUCCGCGUGUAGCAGUGAAAUGCGUAGAGAUGCGGAGGAACACCGAUGGCGAAGGCAGGUCUCUGGGCACUUACUGACGCUGAGGAGCGAAAGCGUGGGGAGCAAACAGG
rnacentral:rRNA from 1 species